rnacentral:rRNA from 1 species
GACGAACGCUGGCGGCGGGCUUAACACAUGCAAGUCGAACGGAAAGGCCCUGCUUUUGUGGGGUGCUCGAGUGGCGAACGGGUGAGUAACACGUGAGUAACCUGCCCUUGACUUUGGGAUAACUUCAGGAAACUGGGGCUAAUACCGGAUAGGAGCUCCUGCUGCAUGGUGGGGGUUGGAAAGUUUCGGCGGUUGGGGAUGGACUCGCGGCUUAUCAGCUUGUUGGUGGGGUAGUGGCUUACCAAGGCUUUGACGGGUAGCCGGCCUGAGAGGGUGACCGGCCACAUUGGGCCUGAGAUACGGCCCAGACUCCUACGGGAGGCAGCAGUGGGGAAUAUUGCACAGUGGGCGGAAGCCUGAUGCAGCAACGCCGCGUGCGGGAUGACGGCCUUCGGGUUGUAAACCGCUUUCGCCUGUGACGAAGCGUGAGUGACGGUAAUGGGUAAAGAAGCACCGGCUAACUACGUG